CGCCUUUUGUAAUAUACAAAUAUAAAAGGUCCUGCCUGCCCAAUGACUUGUUUUAAUGGCCGCGGUAUUGUGACCGUGCAAAGGUAGCGUAAUCAUUUGUCUUUUAAAUAAAGACCAGUAUGAACGGCAAGACGAAAGCCUCACUGUCUCCCUAGCCCAAUCAAUGAAAUUGAUCUUCCCGUGCAGAAGCGGGAAUAUAAAUAUAAGACGAGAAGACCCUGUGGAGCUUUAAACUACUAACUAACAUCCGCAAAUGCUUUAGUUACAAGUUUUAGGUUGGGGCGACCAUGAGGUAUAAUAAAACCCUCACGAUAUAACUAAGAAGGACACUUCAAUAUAACACAUAAUACAUUGACCCAACAAUUGAUCAACGAACCAAGUUACCCCAGGGAUAACAGCGCAAUCUACUCAAAGAGUCCAUAUCGACGAGCAGGUUUACGACCUCGAUGUUGGAUCAGGACCCCCAAAUAGCGCAACAGUUAUUAAAGGUUCGUUUGUUCAACGAUUAAAGUCCU
rnacentral:rRNA from 1 species